rnacentral:lncRNA from 1 species
AAAGGAACAAGUGUAUGGUCAGCAGCCGGGGCACACAUACAAUAGCAGGCCUUCCAGUAAGGGCAGGCACACGACAUUUGAAUACUAGAGAGGCACAGCAUUCUAACAGGGGCAUAACCGCCCAGAUAAAGACAGGUAACAUCUGGAUGACAAAAGAGAAAGCACUUCCUCAUAUGCACAGAAUUUCAGCAUGAUGCUUUGAAAUAGAAGAGAGAGAUACAGGCAAGUCAGCCCUGAAGGAUACAGCUGUGAGAACAAAUGUUAUGUGUUAUUUUGGUGGUCGGUGUUACCUCAUGUGCAACUGUAUACACGUCUACUCCAACAAAGGAUAUUGUGGUUUGCACAUGGCUGAUACAUAGCUGGUGCCUAAUUAAUGUUUAAUGAUACAUAAUAAAUGAAUGAAUAAAUAGAUACAUGAAUGAA